AACGAACGCUGGCGGCAUGCCUAACACAUGCAAGUCGAACGAGACCUUCGGGUCUAGUGGCGCACGGGUGCGUAACGCGUGGGAACCUGCCCUUACGUUCGGAAUAACUCCCCGAAAGGGGUGCUAAUACCGGAUAAUGUCUUCGGACCAAAGAUUUAUUGCCUUUGGAUGGGCCCGCGUUGGAUUAGCUAGUUGGUAGGGUAAAAGCCUACCAAGGCGACGAUCCAUAGCUGGUCUGAGAGGAUGAUCAGCCACACUGGGACUGAGACACGGCCCAGACUCCUACGGGAGGCAGCAGUGGGGAAUAUUGGACAAUGGGCGAAAGCCUGAUCCAGCAAUGCCGCGUGAGUGAUGAAGGCCUUAGGGUUGUAAAGCUCUUUUACCCGGGAUGAUAAUGACAGUACCGGGAGAAUAAGCUCCGGCUAACUCCGUG
rnacentral:rRNA from 1 species